rnacentral:rRNA from 1 species
GACGAACCGAGCGAACGUUGUUCGGAAUCACUGGGCUUAAGGCGGCGUAGGCGGGCUGCCGCGUCCGGGGUGAAAUCCCACGGCUCAACCGUGGAACGGCCCCGGGUACGGGCGGCCUCGAGGGGGGUAGGGGCGUGCGGAACUGUGGGUGGAGCGGUGAAAUGCGUUGAGAUCCACAGGAACUCCGGUGGCGAAGGCGGCACGCUGGACCCCCACUGACGCUGAGGCGCGGAAAGCCAGGGGAGCGAACGGG